ACAAUAGUUACUUUUUUGACAAAUUUUGAGUAGUUAGAAUCUUUACUAUUAUGGUACGGUAAAAACCCUUAUUUGCCUACUAUAAACGACAAUCUUAGUUUUGAAUAAGGAAAAUAAUCGAUUUCGAAAUAACCGAUCAACAACAUUUUAUUCAUUUUGGUCAUAAAGCUCAAAUAUUCAUUUUGAACCACUUGCAUCGUACAUACAUUUCGGCCACCGACUUCAAGUAUAUUGCAGACAUCGGCCUCAUGUAAAUGUAAAAACUCAUGUCGUUCUCCCAUAAACAUAAUACAACCCAAUAUGUUCAAUAAUUUUAUGCGAAAUCUCUAUUAGAAUCAUCAAAAUUGAUAUCAUCUUCAACGCAUUCCUAUGCAUUGCAAAAGUAUAAACAACAAUUAGCUCCAUUUCAAGCACCCUAUGCAUAUCUUUAAUUUCCUUCUCUUCUCUUCUCUUCUCUUCACUUCCUAUGUAAGAAAAAAAUAGGUUAUCUAGCUCGAAUGAGUAUGCAUUGCAAAAGUAUAAACAACAAUUAGCUCCAUUUCAAGCACCCUAUGCAUAUCUUUAAUUUCCUUCUCUUCUCUUCUCUUCUCUUCACUUCCUAUGUAAGAAAAAAAUAGGUUAUCUAGCUCGAAUGAGUGUAACUAUCAAAAUAUAUUCAUUUGUUAUGCAUAUUGUCAAUCGUUGUACAAGAAAAUUGUAUUGUAUGUAAUACUCACAUUCAACUACUUAUAUCCGAGCAUCAUUCAUUGUCUCCAAUAAAGAUAUACUCUUGCGUGAAUAGCUUGAGUCAAUUUAUAUCAAACUUCACAUUUAGUGGAUACAAUCCACAACCAAAAUAAAUUCUAACGAUAAACACAUCAUAACAAAUUAUAAACAAAAAGCUUAGAUUCAUAGACCCAAAAAAUAAACUUAAAGUAUAUGUCAGUUGAUUUAUUAGUUAUAAUUAAAGAACUUUAGAAUUUGUACAUUUGACAAAUAUGACUUACUAUGAAAUAAGAAGUUAAGAACAACUCUUAAUCAAUCAAUUAGAAGUUUAAAAGACUAAACAAAACUAGAUGAAAAAGAAUUAGAUAACAAUUGAAACCAUAUAAUUAAUUCAACGUCGACAUAACAAUUGAAACUUAAAAAAAAAAAAUAGCUUCACAUGAUUGAUGCAAAACUAAAAAGCUAGAAUAUGUUUAGCCUGAAUAUAUAAAAGUAUCUAUGAGAUCGUGUAUGUGUUGGACAUUGAAUGUAAGAUAUUAUUUGUUAAACACUUCAUACCUACGUUUCAUGCAUUUUCAUUCUCUAUUUAGUUUUCAUUUUCUAAGUAAAAUAAGGAUUAUCUUUUCUUAUAUAUUUCCUAAAAACUUCUUGAUUUAGCCGCAAAAAUUUUUCAUUAAAUCUUUACGGAGAUGUGACGACUCAAAAUUUUAAAUACCUAAACUAGUAUACUUAUUUUCUUUUACUCUAAAUUGUUGGUGUAUAUUUAUAUAUGAAUUAAAUUCAGUUUAACCCAUUGUGGUUUAGAGGUGAAUUCAUGUUAGUCCCUAAACUUUCAAUUUCAUCAGAUUACCCCCCGAGCGCUUGUUUUUCUGGUAAUUUAGCUUCUUAACCCCCAAAACGUCAUCACAUGUCAUCAAAUUUCAACGUCCUAAUUGGACGGAGCAUGAGUAAUAGGAGACUGCAGAUAGAAAAAUAAGAGCUCAUGGGGUAAUCUGAUGAAAUUGAAAGUUUAGGGACUAACAUGAAUUCACCUCUAAACCACAGUGGGGUAAACUGAAUUUAAUUCUUUAUAUAUAGUAUUAUACAUGCUGAAAUUUAUCUAGUUGUUUUGUUUUCAUUUCAUUUUAUUUUGGGUUAGACAAGAGUGUUCAGCUCAUGACCCAACACCCGUUUAACCCAAACCUGAGCCCAAACAUCUUUUAGGAAGAAAAAAUUAUUGUCGUAGAAAGUAACAGAAUGAUGCCCAGAAUUCACCUUCUGCUUCUUCUCCUCCGCCUUUUGCUUCUUCUCCUCUGCCUUCUACUUCUUCUUCUUCUUUUUCAUUGACUUCUUCUUUCUCCCGACCAUAUGCUUCCUAAUCUGAAACCUUGCUGCGAAGAAACCCAGAAACUGUUCUACGAAAAAGAUUAAACAAUAGCACCCGCCAUGGAGAAGCAUGAGAUGUCAAAUUCCUAGAGAUCAGUUGAUGAUUCCUUGAAGUUAUAUAGCAUGAGGUGGAACCCUAGGGGUCUAGUCUAGUACCUAAAUGGGUAAGAUUUCGAUUGUACAAUUCAAUUUUGCUUCUUUUAUUCUUGUCUUGGACACCAAGUUCUAUCUCCUUUUCAAACCCUAUAAAUAGUCUAGGCAUUCUGAGUCCAUAUGGUUCCUUGAGUUUACUGAUAGAGAGAAAAGAGAGAAGAAUGUUUUUGAAGUAGACGAGAUAUAGGAAGAGUUAAGGUAUGAACUUCUCUCCUUUCAAUUCAAUUUGAUUCUACUUUCUUUUUCUCUAGUUUAUAUGAGUUGUUGUUAGAAGUUAGAACUGAUCAAAUUAUUUGAUUACUAAGAUGGAUAGAAUUGAGACAUGUUUAUUAGUUAAAUCGUAUUCAAGUUGUUAUUUUGCUACUGUUGGUUAGAUUAACUAUUAUUAGUGUUCAUUUUGUUCUAUUCCAAUUUCUUUUAUAUUUUGAUUAUGAAAAUUCUAUUUCAUAAUUAAAAUAUGAGUCACACCUCAAAAAAAAAAAUUACAAAAAAAUAAUUUGCAUUUGACAAGAGAUCUCGACAAUAUUUUCUUUUGAUGUUCUAGGG
rnacentral:lncRNA from 1 species